rnacentral:rRNA from 1 species
GAGCGAUUUGUCUGGUUAAUUCCGGUAACGAACGAGACUCUAGCCUGCUAAAUAGGCGUCGUCAUUUAGGUGUGCGUGGCUCCGUCACGCAGCUCACUGGCGACGUAUUAAAAUUCUUCUUAGAGGGACCGGCGGCUUCGAGCCGCACGAGAUUGAGCAAUAACAGGUCUGUGAUGCCCUUAGAUGUCCUGGGCCGCACGCGCGCUACACUGAAGGAAUCAGCAUGUUCUCCCUGGCCUAGAGGCCCGGGCAACCCGCUGAAACUCCUUCGUGCUGGGGAUUGGGGUUUGCAAUUAUCCCCCAUAAACGAGGAAUUCCUAGUAAGCGCGAGUCAUAAGCUCGCGUUGAUUACGUCCCUGCCCUUUGUACACACCGCCCGUCGCUACUACCGAUUGAAUGAUUUAGUGAGGUCUUCGGACCGACACGCGGUGGCUUCCCCUGCCGGAUCCGGCCAGUAGCAUAUGAUGUCUCAAAGCAUAGGCCUUCCCGGGUGAUCCACACAGUCCCAUAUU